rnacentral:sRNA from 1 species
UGCUGCAUCUGCAGCCAGCCAAUGUUUCAGCAGUCUGAGAGAAACGCCUUCGGGUGACUGCCAGCCAACGUUUCACUGGCCUGAGAGAAACACCUUCGGGUGGCCGGAAUAUCCUCGUAGCCUGAAAGAGGAUGCCUGUGGGCGGUACAUC